CUCCAUGGUGGAAAUUUCAGAGGAGCCCCUGGGAACCGUGGCGGAUAUAAUAGGAGGGACAACAUGCCACAGAGAGGUGGUGGUGGCGGCGGAAGUGGUGGAAUCGGCUAUCCAUACCCUCGUGCCCCUGUUUUUCCUGGCUGUGGUAGUUAUUCAAACAGAGGGAACUACAACAGAGGUGGAAUGCCCAACAGAGGGAACUACAGCCAGAACUUCAGAGGACGAGGAAACAAUCGUGGCUACAAAAAUCAAUCUCAGGGCUACAACCAGUGGCAGCAGGGUCAAUUCUGGGGUCGGAAGCCAUGGAGUCAGCAUUAUCCCCAAGGAUAUUAU
rnacentral:lncRNA from 1 species